rnacentral:rRNA from 1 species
GAGUUUGAUCGUGGCUCAGGAUGAACGCUGGCGGCGUGCUUAACACAUGCAAGUCGAGCGAAGCACUUGAACGGAUUUCUUCGGAUUGAAGUUUUUGUGACUGAGCGGCGGACGGGUGAGUAACGCGUGGGUAACCUGCCUCAUACAGGGGGAUAACAGUUAGAAAUGGCUGCUAAUACCGCAUAAGCGCACAGGACCGCAUGGUCUGGUGUGAAAACUCCGGUGGUGUAAGAUGGACCCGCGUCUGAUUAGGUAGUUGGUGGGUAACGGCCCACCAAGCCGACGAUCAGUAGCCGACCUGAGAGGGUGACCGGCACAUUGGGACUGAGACACGGCCCAAACUCCUACGGGAGCAGCAGUGGGGAAUAUUGCACAAUGGGCGAAAGCCUGAUGCAGCGACGCCGCGUGAGCGAUGAAGUAUUUCGGUAUGUAAAGCU